GGCCUGAUGGUCUAGUGGUAUGAUUGGCGUUUCGGGAUUUAUUUCCAAAUUCUCUUAGAGAAGAAGAUAUGCCAGGUCCCGGGUUCAAUCCCCGGUCAGGCCC